GCCCCCCCCCCGCCCCGCCCGCCCCCCCAGCCGAGCACCGGGGAGGCCGCUCCCCGCGCCCUGGGCCUCUCGGCCUCCGCCGCGCCUCCCGGGCGGGGGCCUUGGGCAGGCGCCGCCGUCUCCCGCUAGAGGGACCCGGGCUGCCUCCGCGGCCGUGUCGCCCCAGCGGACGGCGAGCGCCUCCGGAGCCGGGACGGCGUCCUCGUCACUUGGGUCUGGCACGUAGUGGGGCCUAGCGAGGGGCUGCACAUGGAGGGACGCCGCGGUGGCGCGGGCCAGGCGCUCAGCGGGUGCGCCCCAAGGGUCUGCGGGCCGCGGGGACUUGCUGGCGGGCCUGGAGGCGGGGGGCAGGCUGACGCGUCGCCUCUGGGAGAACCGGGAGACCCGCGGCGAGCAGAGUUGAGGACCGGCCAGCGGGGCGUCCCGGGGCUAGACCUGGGAGACGUCCGAGUGACUGGGGGAGCCCCGGCCGCGCAAGCUUGAGAUACAGAUUGAACUUCAGACAAGGCCGGACUACCCUGUAAACCAGAGACAACUUUUCAUUUGAAUGAACAGAAUCACAGACUACAAUGAAAGGGGAAAAAAAUGUAUCUUGACUAUGACAGUCCAUAGAAGCUGUCUUACUCACCACUGUUGGAGUAUCAUAGAGACAAUCUCCUGUGCUGCCUCCCACUGGCUGAACCCAAGAGGAAGCCUAAGGGCAAGUGAGCCCUGAUGACGUUGUCCUUCAAGGCCAGCCUCCGGAAAAUGAUGGAGGGUAGAUCUGGAAGGACAAAGGCACAAUAUCUAGCAGUGAGCAUUGUGAUAGGGGAAGUAUGAGGACCUGAGUGGCCGCCUGGGAGAAUAAUGGACUCCAUCUCCGGAGAUAAGGGAAGGCUUCAGGGGUGGAGGAAGGAAGGAAGAUUGAAGGAACAACAGAUCAUUCGCUCUGAUGGAAGCCAGCUGCCAUGUUGCAAGCUGCCCUAAAGAGAGGUCCCCAUGGCAUGAAGCUGAGGGAGAUCUCAAGUCAACAGCCAGCUAGGAACUGGGGCUUCAAUCCAAUAACCCAAGAACAAUUGAGACCUACCAACAGCCACAGGAGUGGAGCUUGGAAGCAGAACGUUCUUCAGUUAAGCCUUCAGAUGAGACUGCAGUCCCUCUGGACGGUUUGACUAUAACUUCAUGAGAGACUUUGAGUCCAAACCACCCAACCAUGAUGGCCCCAAAUUUCUGACCCAUAGAAAUUGUGAGAUAUUUGUUGUAAUUUUCUUUUUUUUUUUUAAUUUUUUUUUAACGUUUAUUUAUUUUUGAGACAGAGAGAGACAGAGCAUGAACAGGGGAGGGUCAGAGAGAGGGAGACACAGAAUCUGAAACAGGCUCCAGGCUCUGAGCUGUCAGCACAGAGCCCGACACAGGGAUCGAACUCACGGACCGCGAGAUCAUGACCUGGGCCGAAGUCAGCCGCUUAACCGACUGAGCCACCCAGGCGCCCCUGUUGUGUUAAUUUUCUAAGUUUGGGGGGUAAUUUGUUAUGCAGAAAUAGACAAAUAAUUCAUCAGAUCACUGAAAAUGAGGGGGAAAUAAUGAGAAAGGUUUCCAGGUCCUAGCAUGGUUGGAUGACUUUCUCCAGCAGCCCUCGACAACUCCACACGAUGUGCUCAUCCACUUUGUAUACCACCGAUACUAUGCAAUGUCCAACAGUAUCUUUUUCCCCCAAUGAUAUCUUUUGAUAAAGGAAUUUUGCCAAAAGCUUA